rnacentral:rRNA from 1 species
AGAACGAACGCUGGCGGCGUGCUUAACACAUGCAAGUCGAGUGCGCGUCUGUAGCAAUACAGAUGGCGCACGGCGCACGGGUGCGUAACACGUGGGUAAUCUGCCCUCUGAUGGGGAAUAACUCGCCGAAAGGCGAGCUAAUUCCGCAUAAUAUUCCGAGAACUUAGGUUUUUGGACUGAAAGGCGUAAGUCGUCGGAGGAGGAGCCCGCGCACGAUUAGCUAGUUGGUAGGGUAACGGCCUACCAAGGCUUUGAUCGUUA